rnacentral:lncRNA from 1 species
CAGAGUCACAAACAAACACUGAAACAUAGUCAAUCACACAUAAAGUUCACGGCUUCACGCCUACACCCACCCACAGCCGCCGACCAGCGACAUACACGCCACAACCUCCCUCUCUCGCAUCCCACAAUCGACGACGACAAGCGGCAGUUACACAACGCACAUCCACAGCCAAACAAACGAAACAGUCACUAUUCACAGACAGUCAAACACACACGAAGUUCAAGGAGCAAGCUGGAUCCGGCCACCAGAUGCAGCAACCGCCGAGAGUCGACGCCAACCAAAGCUGCUACGCCAGUACUGGAUCUACCAAUCUGUUGCCACCAAGUACCGGAUCUGCUGCGCCACCUCCACGCUUCCAAUCCUCCACCAUCACCUGAUCUGAUUCAAGCUCCAUUCGACCCGGCAAGCUCCAUCCUAUUCAAGCGUCAUUUGGCUAUUGACUUUUGAGUUUUGAAAGCUUUGGGCUGUUAGUGUAACUUGGCAAAGAUGGUGUAUAUGCUUUAUAUAUUAUAAGUGAACAAAUGUGUAGAUCGUGUGUAAUUGUGUAUAUACUUUAUAUCCGAUCCGAUCUGAUCCGAACUCAACCCGAACCUACAACCCGAUUCGGAUCGGAUCGGGUUGUAGGUUCCGGUUG